CAGGGAACGGGGCUCACCAGGUACCCGAAGUGGAUGUCGGAGAUCUUGGCCUGCACCACCGACCACAGACCCCAGAAAAAGUGUGAGGCCAGGGCAAAGCUGGGCACAGAAAAACAGCGGGUGCCCCCGUCCCCCCGUACCGGUCGAUCUCCCGCAGCAUCUCCUCCUCGAGCCGCUGCUGCUCCCGGGGGGAGCUGGGCCCCAAAGCCGAGGCCCCGGCCAGGUUGUAACCCCGGAGCUGCUCCAGCUGCUCCAGCUGUGCCUGCUCCGAGAAUGUCAGCUGGGAGAUCUGCUGCAGGCGGCCCUGAGCGAACACCCCGAAGAGGCGCGGGCCCAGCGCGCGCUCGGCCAGGAUGGCGAACAUGACGCUCUCCAGCACCAGCGAGUCCACGCCCUGCGGGGACAGGGACAGGGGAGCCCCAAAA